rnacentral:rRNA from 1 species
AUUGAACGCUGGCGGCAGGCCUAACACAUGCAAGUCGAGCGGUAGAGAGAAGCUUGCUUCUCUUGAGAGCGGCGGACGGGUGAGUAAUCCCUAGGAAUCUGCCUGGUAGUGGGGGAUAACGUUCGGAAGCGGACGCUAAUACCGCAUACGUCCUACGGGAGAAAGCAGGGGACCUUCGGGCCUUGCGCUAUCAGAUGAGCCUAGGUCGGAUUAGCUAGUUGGUGAGGUAAUGGCUCACCAAGGCGACGAUCCGUAACUGGUCUGAGAGGAUGAUCAGUCACACUGGAACUGAGACACGGUCCAGACUCCUACGGGAGGCAGCAGUGGGGAAUAUUGGACAAUGGGCGAAAGCCUGAUCCAGCCAUGCCGCGUGUGUGAAGAAGGUCUUCGGAUUGUAAAGCACUUUAAGUUGGGAGGAAGGGUUGUAGAUUAAUACUCUGCAAUUUUGACGUUACCGACAGAAUAAGCACCGGCUAACUCUGUGCCAGCCGCCGCGGUAA